UUUUGGUUGAAUUGUAAAAAGAUAUCAAAAGCAUCAUAGUUUGGAAUCAAAAAAAGAAAGUAGAGAGAGCAUAUAAAUGUUUGUAAGUUAUAAAAGUUGUCUCAUGAGUUACGAUAUCUUUCUUUAUUAAGCUAGCAAAGAUAUAUAUAUAUAUUGACAAAAAAAUAAAUAAAAAUAAAAAUAUAUAGCGAGUAAAAAAUUGGUGGUGGUGGGUCCGUGAGUGUUCAUUAAUCAGUAGGGCCGGAAAAAUUCCAUCCAACGGUUCUCUCCGCAUCUAACGGCUCUAUUUUUCAAAUUAGCCAUCCCGCCCGCCCGUCCGCAUCUCACUAUUUCAAAUGGCGUUUGCUAUUCGCGC
rnacentral:lncRNA from 1 species